GACAGAGGUGCCGAGCGUUAGGCGGAAUCACUGGGCUUAAAGCGUGUGUAGGCGGACGGGUAAGUACCUUGUGAAAUCCCACGGCUCAACCGUGGAACUGCUGGGUAUACUGCCUGUCUUGAGUCAUCUAGGGGCGAGCGGAACAAAUGGUGGAGCGGUGAAAUGCGUAGAUAGUCAUUUGGAACGCCAAUGGUGAAAACAGCUCGCUGGGGAUG
rnacentral:rRNA from 1 species